UAUCUUCUUUUUUUCGGAGCAGGUUGAGAAGUAGAAGAUAACUGCCGAAGCCACCGUUUUCUUAUCCCUUCCCGCCCGCUUCUUCUUCUUCAUCAUCUUCAACCUCGCCUCCAAAAACCCUUCUACAGAGAAGAGAUGCAGACCUCAAUCUUCUCCCCAUCGUCAUCUUCUUCACUUGCCAUUUUGAAGCUCAACCAAAACCCUCUUCUGGGCCAUAUCGUUUCUACGCCGCGUUUGCCCCUUAAAAGAAGGCCCACUUCGACCACUCGCGCACUUCUCUCAGCCCACCGACAAUCAGUUCUCAAGGAUUUUCAGGAGAGACGAGCUCUGAAGAUUAUUUCAGGUCUGCAGAACCUUGACAGGGAAAAUGUGGCUUCAGUAGUCACUGCAGCAGACCAGGGGGGAGCGACUCAUGUCGAUAUAGCUUGUGAUGCAGAGUUAGUGAAGCUUGCCAUUAGUUUAACUUCUCUUCCAGUUUGUGUUUCUUCUGUGGAUCCAGCAGAAUUCUUACCUGCCGUUGAAGCUGGAGCAUUAAUGGUGGAAAUUGGAAACUAUGAUUCAUUCUAUGAGGCAGGAAUAGUUUUCUCUGCAGAUCAGAUAUUGAAUCUAACAAAAGAGACUAGGAGGUUACUGCCGUCUGUGGUCUUAUCAGUCACUGUGCCCCACACACUUGGACUUCCUGAUCAGGUCAAGCUGGCAGAGUUUCUGGAACAAGAAGGUGCUGAUAUUAUACAAACUGAAGGAGGAAAAUGCUCUCAUCCUUCAAAAUCUGGCGUGCUUGGCUUGAUCGAGAAGGCAGCACCCACACUAGCAGCAGCAUAUUCGAUCUCGAGGGCUGUUAAGAUUCCUGUCAUGUGUUCGUCCGGGUUAAGUGCUGUCACGGCGCCAAUGGCUAUCACGGCUGGAGCUGCAGGCGUGGGUGUAGGAUCGGCAGUUAACAAGCUCAAUGAUGUUGUAGCGAUGAUUGCAGAGGUCAGGAGCAUUGCUGAUUCCUUAGCACCGUCAGCUGCCCGGCUAAACAGACCCGAUGGCGCAUUUUUGAAUUUGUAGAUUUAUGGUUCUCUGGUGCAUGUGGGAAACGUUUGCCUUCCAAAUUAAGAUCCUUUUAUAUGGCUUUCCUCCUAUGGUAUUAGAUACGAUAGUUGCAUACGAUGUUUUAGGUUUUAAAGUCGACGACAAUAUUUCAAGCCGGAAGUUUUUUCGUGUAUCAGAGCAAGAUAAGAACUCAAACCUUCAAAA